rnacentral:rRNA from 1 species
GAUGAACGCUGGCGGCGUGCCUAAUACAUGCAAGUCGAGCGAACAGACGAGGAGCUUGCUCCUCUUACGUUAGCGGCGGACGGGUGAGUAACACGUGGAUAACCUACCUAUAAGACUGGGAUAACUUCGGGAAACCGGAGCUAAUACCGGAUAAUAUAUUGAACCGCAUGGUUCAAUAGUGAAAGACGGUUUUGCUGUCACUUAUAGAUGGAUCCGCGCCGCAUUAGCUAGUUGGUAAGGUAACGGCUUACCAAGGCAACGAUGCGUAGCCGACCUGAGAGGGUGAUCGGAGAAACUGGAAGUGAGACACGGUCCAGAGGACUACGGGAGGGAGCAGUAGGGAAUCUUCCGCAAUGGGCGAAAGCAUGACGGAGCAACGGCGCGUGAGUGAAGAAGGUCUUCGGAUCGUAAAACUCUGUUAUUAGGGAAGAAAAAAUGUGUAAGUAAAUAUGCACGUAUUGACGGUACCUAAUCAGAAAGCAACGGCUAACUACGUG